GACGAACGCUGGCGGCGUGCUUAACACAUGCAAGUCGAACGGUGAAGCGCUUUCCUUUUUGGUUGGUGUGGAUGAGUGGCGAACGGGUGAGUAACACGUGAGUAACCUGCCCCCUUCUUCUGGAUAACCGCAUGAAAGUGUGGCUAAUACGGGAUAUUCUGCGCCUGCUGCAUGGUGGGUGUGGGAAAGAUUGUGCCUUUGGGUGUUUUCGGUGGGGGAUGGGCUCGCGGCCUAUCAGCUUGUUGGUGGGGUGAUGGCCUACCAAGGCGGUGACGGGUAGCCGGCCUGGGAGGGUGGACGGUCACACUGGGACUGAGACACGGCCCAGACUCCUACGGGAGGCAGCAGUGGGGAAUAUUGCACAAUGGGCGCAAGCCUGAUGCAGCGACGCCGCGUGAGGGAUGGAGGCCUUCGGGUUGUGAACCUCUUUCGCCAGUGAAGCAGGCCUGCUCCUUGUGGGUGGGUUGACGGUAGCUGGAGAAGAAGCGCCGGCUAACUACGUG
rnacentral:rRNA from 1 species